UACAGAGGUCUCAAGCGUUGUUCGGAUUCAUUGGGCGUAAAGGGCGCGUAGGCGGCGAGGUAAGUCGGGUGUGAAAUCUCAGAGCUCAACUCUGAAACUGCACUCGAUACUGCUUUGCUAGAGGACUGGAGAGGAGAUUGGAAUUCACGGUGUAGCAGUGAAAUGCGUAGAGAUCGUGAGGAAGACCAGAGGCGAAGGCGGAUCUCUGGACAGUUCCUGACGCUGAGGCGCGAAGGCCAGGGGAGCAAACGGG
rnacentral:rRNA from 1 species